rnacentral:tRNA from 1 species
GCGCCAUUGGUGUAGUAGCAGCAAACCUGUCUUCCAAACAGGAGGUGCCGGGGCAGUACCGGCAUGGCGCU